rnacentral:rRNA from 1 species
AGUGAACGCUGGCGGCAGGCCUAACACAUGCAAGUCGAACGGCAGCACAGCAGUAGCAAUACUGUGGGUGGCGAGUGGCGGACGGGUGAGGAAUACAUCGGGAUCUACCUUUUCGUGGGGGAUAACGUAGGGAAACUUACGCUAAUACCGCAUACGCCCUACGGGGGAAAGCGGCGGACCGCAAGGCGUCGCGCGAUGAGAUGAACCGAUGUCCGAUUAGCUAGUUGGCGGGGUAAAGGCCCACCAAGGCGACGAUCGGUAGCUGAUCUGAGAGGAUGAUCAGCCACACUGGAACUGAGACACGGUCCAGACUCCUACGGGAGGCAGCAGUGGGGAAUAUGGACAAUGGGGGAAACCCUGAUCCAGCAAUGCCGCGUGUGUGAAGAAAGGCCUGCGGGUUGUAAAGCACUUUUGGCAGGGAAGAAAAGCACUGGCCGAAUAACGCCAAGUGUGUUGACGUAACCUGCAGAAGAAGACACCGGCUAAACU